rnacentral:rRNA from 1 species
UACGGAGGGUGCAAGCGUUAUCCGGAUUCACUGGGUUUAAAGGGUGUGUAGGCGGAUAUUUAAGUCAGUGGUGAAAUCUCCGGGCUCAACCCGGAAACUGCCAUUGAUACUAUUUAUCUUGAAUAUCGUUGAGGUUGGCGGAAUAUAUCAUGUAGCGGUGAAAUGCAUAGAUAUGAUGUAGAACACCGAUUGCGAAGGCAGCUAACUAAGCGAUUAUUGACGCUGAGGCACGAAAGCGUGGGGAUCAAACAGG